UGGGGAAUUUUGCACAAUGGGCGCAAGCCUGAUGCAGCGACGCCGCGUGAGGGAUGAAGGCCUUCGGGUUGUAAACCUUUUUCGCUCAUGGUCAAGCCGCAGCUUUGGGUUGUGGUGAGGGUAGUGGGUAAAGAAGCGCCGGCUAACUACGUGCCAGCAGCCGCGGUAAUACGUAGGGCGCGAGCGUUGUCCGAAAUUAUUGGGCGUAAAGGGCUUGUAGGCGGUUGGCCGAGUCUGCCGUGAAAUCCUCUGGCUUAACUGGGGGCGUGCGGUGGGUACGGGUUGACUGGAGGGCGGGAGGGGAGACUGGAAUGCGUGGUGUAGCGGGGGAAUGCGCAGAGAUCAGGAGGAACGACGAUGGCGAAGGCGGGUCGAUGGGCCGUUACUGACGAGGAGGAACGAAAGCGUGGGGAGCGAACAGG
rnacentral:rRNA from 1 species